UAGGAUUACAGGCGUGAGCCACUGCGUCCAGCCAUAGGGGUAAAUCUUGACUGGGCGAAGUCUUAGACUCUAAGCCAGUCAUGGUUAUAUCAGUCCCCUUGCCAGGGAUUGUUUAAGAGUGAGGAUGUGAUCCAUUUCUAGUCCAUGAAAUAUGAGAAGUAUAUGAGAGGGAGGGGUCGCUUCUGGGUAGGUUUUUUUUGUGGUUUUGUUUUUUUUUUUUUUUUUGAGACGGAGUCUCUCACUCUAUCACCCAGGCUGGAGUGCAGUGGCGCUAUCUGGGCUCACCACAACCUCCGCCUCCCAGGUUCAAACCAUUCUCCUGCCUCAGACUCUCGAGUAGCUGGGAUUGCAGGCAUGUGCUACCACGCCCCUUAAUUUUUAGUAGAGACAGGAUUUCACCAUGUUGCCUAGGCUGGUCUUGAACUCCUGACCUCGUGAUCCACCCGCCUUGGCCUCGGAUUACAGGCAUGAGCCACCGCGCCCAGCCUGGGCAGGGUUUUUUUUUUUUUUUUUUUUCUGCUUGUGGAUGUUGUUAUGUCAAGAUGUAAAACCUAGAAAUACUGAAGUAAUCUUGGAUCAUGAAGAGAACCAGCCUUGGAAUGAGGUUGUUACUGAAGGUGGCAGAGUGGAGAGUUGGAAGAAAUCUAGGUUCUUGAUGACACCAUUACCCACUGGUUGUACUAUGCCCAGAAACACCUAGUUUCUUGAUUUUGUUGUUGUUGUGGUGGUGGUGGUAAAAUAAUAAGUUUCCUUACUGCUCAAGUUUAUUUGAAUUGAUGUUAUCUGUUACUUGCAGCUAAAGGCAUCCUGAUUGAUACAGCACAUCUUGGAAAUAACAGAGUUCAGCAAUCUUCCUAUAGAGAAUUUUGCUGUAGCAUAACUCCUGUGGAGUAGGAGGAAAAAAUUAGGAUCCACGGGUUAUCUAAAACAAAAAGGGAUCUUCUAGAAUUUGAGGAAGUGAGAAAUUGGCAAAAAUAUGUUUUGGUGAAAUCUUCUUUGAUCAGAACAUAAUAAAAGGAAAGGAAUUAAACAUUUUUCUUCUAUAAUUAAAUAAUUGUCAUUUUAUAUUAAAAUUUUUUUCUAGAAAAACCUUGAUUUUUGACAAAAAUGUUGAAAGCAAAUACUAUUUUUUAUUUUUAAAAUUUAAAAAUAACAUUCAUUAUUCUCUAAAAUUUUACUCUUCUCUAAAAUCUUUCAAUACAUUUGUUUUUGAAGCACACUAUUAACUAUUCACAAUCAACAUUUUACUUUAGCUAAAUCUAUUAAGUAAUCAGACAGCAAUUCAGCAUAAUUAGUUCAUUACAUUUGUAUAGAAGUAGAUAAUUUCAUAGAAAUCUAUCAAAACAAAAUGAAAAAUUGAUUAUUUGGUUACAAAUAUUAGAAGAGUGGUUCACCUUUAAUAUCUUCUUUAUUUUAUCAGUAGCAGAAAAAUCUGUCAUGUAAACUUUUCUUAACUUCUUUUCUUCUGAAAUUCCUUAAUUUCUAUAACUUGGCCUUUUGACAGUUGUUAGAAUCAGUUACUGACAAUUCCUUUUUAUCAUUCACAAAAUAUAGCUGGAGACCUUUGCUCAGAAAGGAAAGCGCUGAUAUUAAUUAACAAGUUUAUCGUUUCAAGAUUGGGUUCUGUACUCAUGUGAGUUUUCAGCUAUGAAUUAUGGCUGCAGUAAUUACCAUGCCUUUGUUGAUAAUUUUAGUUGAGUUGCUUAUAUUUUAGAUCCUACCUCUUUUUUUCAUAACUAAUGAUUUUAAAGUUUUGGCAUUUGGGAAUUACAAUGUUUCUGGACUUUGUUUAAUAUUUUUUUCUUUUUUUUUUUAGAUAGGGUCUCACUCUGUUGCCCAGGCUGGAGUGCAGUGGUUCGAUAUGGCUCACUGCAGCCUCAGCCUCCCUGGGAUCAAGUGAUCCUCUCACCUCAGCCUCCCAAGUAGCAGGGACCACAGGUGUGUGCCACCAUACCCGGCUAAUUUUUGUAUUUUUUGUAGAGAUAGGGUUUUGCCAUGUUGCCCAGGCUGGUCUUCAACACCUAGGCUCAAGCAGUCUUCCCACCUCAGCCUCCCAAUGUGCUAGGAUUACAGGGGUGAGUCACCACGCCCAGGCUGGACUUUAUUUAAAUGCUGAAAUUUAAAACUCUUGGUUAAUGAUAGGAGGCAUUUCAGGUGGUUCUCUGUGGCACUUCUCAACCUUUGUCCACAAGGACGCACUUGGCCUUCCUAUCAGUUGUAUGUAAAUCCCUCUCAUUUAUUGUGGCUCCACUCCUCUCUCUCCACCUAGGAAGAGCUUUGCAGACAUUACCUUUAAUCUAAAAACAAACCAAUAGGAAAUAGUGGCACUUUUAGUAGAGUAACCUUUGUUGGAGCAGUAACUUAACCUCUCUAUACUUCAGUUCUCCUUACAUACAAAAUGAAAGCUACAAGAAGUUCUUAUGAAAAUAUCAGUUAAGUGGUUUUUUUAAAUUUUUAAUUUUUAUUUAUUAUUUUCUUUUUGAGACGCAGUCUCUGUCACCCAGGCUGGAGUGUGGUGGCAUGAUCUUGGCUCACUGCAACCUCUGCCUCCCGAGUUCAAGCAAUUCUCCUGCCUUGGCCUCCCGAGUAGCUGGGAUUACAGGUGCGCACCACCUCACCCAGCU
rnacentral:lncRNA from 1 species